rnacentral:rRNA from 1 species
AGUGGACGCUGGCGGUAGGCCUAACACAUGCAAGUCGAACGGCAGCACAGUAAGAGCUUGCUCUUACGGGUGGCGAGUGGCGGACGGGUGAGGAAUACAUCGGAAUCUACUUUUUCGUGGGGGAUAACGUAGGGAAACUUACGCUAAUACCGCAUACGACCUACGGGUGAAAGCAGGGGAUCUUCGGACCUUGCGCGAUUGAAUGAGCCGAUGUCGGAUUAGCUAGUUGGCGGGGUAAAGGCCCACCAAGGCGACGAUCCGUAGCUGGUCUGAGAGGAUGAUCAGCCACACUGGAACUGAGUCACGGUCCAGACUCCUACGGGAGGCAGCAGUGGGGAAUAUUGGACAAUGGGCGCAAGCCUGAUCCAGCCAUACCGCGUGGGUGAAGAAGGCCUUCGGGUUGUAAAGCCCUUUUGUUGGGAAAGAAAAGCAGCAGGUUAAUACCCCGCUGUUCUGACGGUACCCAAAGAAUAAGCACCGGCUAACUUCGUG